rnacentral:rRNA from 1 species
GACGAACGCUGGCGGCGUGCCUAAUACAUGCAAGUCGAACGCAGUGGGGACGGGUGCGUAACACGUGGGUAACCUCCCAUCAGAGGGGAUAACACUUGGCAACAGGUGCUAAACCGAUACUGGUGGAUCGACCCGCGGUGCAUUAGCUAGUUGGUGGGGUAACGGCGCACCAAGGCCACGAUGCAUAGCCGGCCUGAGAGGGUGAUCGGCCACACUGGGACUGAGACACGGCCCAGACUCCUACGGGAGGCAGCAGUAGGGAAUAUUCGGCAAGGGACGAAAGUCUGACCGAGCCAUGCCGCGUGAGUGAAGAAGGUUUUCGGAUCGUAAAACUCUGUUGUUAGGGAAGCGGUAUCUAAACAGAAAGCCACGGCUAACUACGUGCCAGCAGCCGCGGUAAUUC